rnacentral:rRNA from 1 species
UACGUAGGACCCAAGCGUUAUCCGGAGUGACUGGGCGUAAAGAGUUGCGUAGGUGGUCAGUAAAGCGAAUAGUGAAAUCAGGUGGCUCAACCAUUCUGGCUAUUAUUCGAACUCACUGACUCGAGAACAGCAGAGGUAACUGGAAUUUCUGAAGUAGGGGUAAUAUCCGUAGAUAUCAGAAGGAACACCAAUGGCGUAGGCAGGUUACUGGGCUGUUUCUGACACUGAGGCACGAAAGCGUGGGGAGCGAACCGG